AACCAUUCUCACCUGCGGCUAGACCUGCGGAAGGAUCAUUAACGAAUGGUCUUGGUACCUUCAAAACCCUUCAAACCAGUGGACAUGAAAAAAUGUGCUUCGGCGCUCCGGCGCCGCUUUUAUGCCGUAAUUCUGCCUUUUGUGUCUGGAUGUAAAGUAAAGAAUCAAAACUUUCAACAAUGGAUCU
rnacentral:misc_RNA from 1 species